AAUGAACGCUGGCGGCGCGCCUAGUACAUGCAAGUCGAGCGAGAAGACGCAGCAAUACGUUUGUAAAGCGGCGAACGGGUGAGGAAUACAUGGGUAACCUACCCUCGAGUGGGGAAUAACUAGCCGAAAGGUUAGCUAAUACCGCGUACGCUUCUUGGACUUCGGUUCAGGGAGGAAAGCGAUGCCGAGGGUAUCGCGCUCUUGGAUGGGCUCAUGUCCUAUCAGCUUGNGGUGAGGUAACGGCUCACCAAGGCUUCGACGGGUAGCUGGUCUGAGAGGACGAUCAGCCACACUGGCACUGCGACACGGGCCAGACUCCUACGGGAGGCAGCAGUAAGGAAUAUUGCGCAAUGGGCGAAAGCCUGACGCAGCGACGCCGCGUGGGGGAUGAAGGU
rnacentral:rRNA from 1 species